UACGGAGGGGGCUAGCGUUGUUCGGAAUUACUGGGCGUAAAGCGCACGUAGGCGGCUUUGUAAGUUAGAGGUGAAAGCCCGGAGCUCAACUCCGGAAUAGCCUUUAAGACUGCAUCGCUAGAACGUUGGAGAGGUAAGUGGAAUUCCGAGUGUGGAGGUGAAAUUCGUAGAUAUUCGGAAGAACACCAGUGGCGAAGGCGACUUACUGGACAACUGUUGACGCUGAGGUGCGAAAGCGUGGGGAGCAAACAGG
rnacentral:rRNA from 1 species